AUUACAGGCCGUUGCAGUUUCUAUUUUGGACGUGAGACGGUAGUAUCACAGUCUGUUGGGAUGAUUGGACACAAAACAAAUCCUCUCGUGCACUUUAUGAGUAAAUGGGUGCUGUCGAUGAAUGAGGCGGGUCUUUUCGAUCAUUGGUACACUCAAGCAAAGCCCAACUCUACCAGCUGUGUCAGCUUACCGAGCAAGAUCACUGUAAGCGCACCGUUCUCUUUCAGCAAUUCCUGGGCCAUGUUUGUGUUGCUGUUGUUUGGAUUGGGUGCCAGCUUACAAGUUCUUGUUCUAGAAGUACUUCACAGCUUGAUUCUGCGAUAACUAUCCAGUUCAGAUUUAGCAACCAAGGUUGAAGUACUUAUUACUGAAAAACUGAUUUUUUCUUUUUUUAUGCAUCUUCAAUAAU